rnacentral:rRNA from 1 species
UACGAAGGGGGCGAGCGUUGUUCGGAUUUACUGGGCGUAAAGGGCGCGCAGGCGGUCACUUUUGUCGGGUGUGAAAGCCCCGGGCUUAACCUGGGAACUGCGCUCGAAACGGGAUUACUAGAGAUCGGGAGAGGAGAGUGGAAUUCCCAGUGUAGAGGUGAAAUUCGUAGAUAUUGGGAAGAACACCGGUGGCGAAGGCGGCUCUCUGGACCGAUACUGACGCUGAGGCGCGAAAGCGUGGGGAGCAAACAGG